rnacentral:rRNA from 1 species
GACGAACGCUGGCGGCGUGCCUAAUACAUGCAAGUAGAACGCUGAAGGAGGAGCUUGCUUCUCUGGAUGGGUUGCGAACGGGUGAGUAACGCGUAGGUAACCUGCCUGGUAGCGGGGGAUAACUAUUGGAAACGAUAGCUAAUACCGCAUAAUAGUAGAUGUUGCAUGACAUUUGCUUAAAAGGUGCAAUUGCAUCACUACCAGAUGGACCUGCGUUGUAUUAGCUAGUUGGUGGGGUAACGGCUCACCAAGGCGACGAUACAUAGCCGACCUGAGAGGGUGAUCGGCCACACUGGGACUGAGACACGGCCCAGACUCCUACGGGAGGCAGCAGUAGGGAAUCUUCGGCAAUGGACGGAAGUCUGACCGAGCAACGCCGCGUGAGUGAAGAAGGUUUUCGGAUCGUAAAGCUCUGUUGUAAGAGAAGAACGAGUGUGAGAGUGGAAAGUUCACACUGUGACGGUAUCUUACCAGAAAGGGACGGCUAACUACGUG